UACGGGAGGCAGCAGGGGGAAUAUUGCACAAUGGGCGCAAGCCUGAUGCAGCCAUGCCGCGUGUAUGAAGAAGGCCUUCGGGUUGUAAAGUACUUUCAGUCGUGAGGAAGGUGUUAAGGUUAAUAACCUUAGCAAUUGACGUUAGCGACAGAAGAAGCACCGGCUAACUCCGUGCCAGCAGCCGCGGUAAUACGGAGGGUGCGAGCGUUAAUCGGAAUUACUGGGCGUAAAGGGCACGCAGGCGGUUAAUUAAGUUGGAUGUGAAAUCCCCGGGCUUAACCUGGGAAUGGCAUUCAAGACUGGUUAGCUAGAGUCUUGUAGAGGGGGUAGAAUUCCAUGUGUAGCGGUGAAAUGCGUAGAGAUGUGGAGGAAUACCGGUGGCGAAGGCGGCCCCUGGACAAAGACUGACGCUCAUGUGCGAAAGCGU
rnacentral:rRNA from 1 species